AUUGUCACACUGUUCCUGCUUCCUGACAGGUUCACUUGAACCAUCUGGAGAUUGGGGAACAAGGGCAAUGAGUUGAACAUGUAGGAAGUUUCAUGGCCCAGCCCCUCCUGAGAGCCCUGAACUGCCAACCAGACUGAGCCCAUCAGAGAAUAACACCUCAUUUUCUGAGGAUUCUGAUACCUUUUCAAUCAGAAACAGAAGCAAAGAUUCUGCAGCUCCCACAGAAACUCCCAGAAACCUUGCGGUGCUUCACCCUUCUGAGAUCCUUGAGUCCGAAUGUGGGAGCUAACCAGGUUGCCUUUCUUUACUUACCAUGAAUUCCUCCUAGACUCGUGGUGGCACCUAGGCUUUGGUUCACUCUCACUCUGUUACUAACACUUUUUAUUAAGUAAUGGGAAGGGAAGUAAAUCAUUUAUUUUAUGGCUAAACAUAUAUGCUCAUUAUUCAUAUUAUAUAUCAAUGGUUCCAGGGGAAAAAUAGAUGCACAUUUGAUGUGCAAAUUAUGUAAAAGUGUUUAGGACUUGGCUAUAUAUGUUUCUUUGGUGGAGAAAUAUCUAUGUGAUAGAGAUUUCUUUGGGAAAGAUGACACUCACAAAAAAAGCCAGAAAUUUCUGUUUUAUAGAUUUUGAUAAAAUGUAUGAAAUAAUUUUCGCAGCCAAAGGAAAGUAUAGCACAGUAUAUUAUGGAGAGAUGUUACAGCUCAGGAAAAUUAAUACAUGUCAGCUGUUUAAUAAAUUAUGCAUUUAAUUAUUGCCAGUACAGUCACAAUACAUGCUAAUCUAUGAGAAUAUAUUUAUUGCAAUAGAAUAUAAACCCAAAUGGAUGCUAAAUCUAUGUCUUAUCUUUCAUUAAGCAUGGCACUAAAGAGGGCAUAAGGCACCUGCAAUGUACUAGAUAAAUAUGUAUAAAUAUUAGAUUUUCCAUAGACUGGAGGAUAAGUUUUUGUGGUGCACAUGGAAAGAGUACAGAAAAAGAACUCAGGUGGUAGGUGGUGGUGUAACAAAGUAGGAAAACGAUGUAAUAAUUAAUAAUACUUUAAAUUUUCUUUUUAUAGGAUUUUUGUUUAAUGUGUACCUUUUUAUUUAUUUCUGCUUUUCCUCCCGAGGCACAUCUUCACAAUGAAAUCUUCACAAGCUCAGAACCAUCAACUUGCUACACUGUGUUCCUCCAGUGCCCAGUUCACAGGAAGCACUCAAGAGUAGGAUCAAUUGUUAUCAACCUCUAGCAGAUUAUUGAAUAGACGGUCGUUACAUGAAACUGACACUCAGUUCUUCAUGGUCCACGAUAGUUCUUAUAUCCAGAAAACGUACUUACGUUAUCAACUCUGACUCCAUAAGACAACUUUGCAAAGUCUUGGCUCAUAACUAUAAAUCAAGGCUGAAUCAAACAGGACUACUGUUCUGAAAGAAUACUCAGACUAUGAGUCUUCCUCCAGACAGGCACGCCAUACAACCGACUACACUUGGGCUCACUGAAUGAAUCACAUUCUUCUGCUGUGCCUCCCAGAGAUUUCAUCAAAGCACCCGCAGUGGCCUUCUGGAGGCUCCUCAAACUCUCCACUCAAUGUUUCCUGAAAGUGUCGUGUUUCUCACCUCUAGAUUGUUAUUCUCAUCAGUUACAUGUGGGUUUCACAAAUUUAUUUCUCAGAAUGCAAGUCUGUCUCUUAUAUCCUCGGGAAACACACCUUUAUAUCCCAGUUAGUACUGACAAAAAUUAAACUAGGGACUGGCCAAAAACAGUGCCUUUCCUCACUUUAAUCUCACUAAAGUAGAUAAGACUCAAGUUAUUUUGUUCUUGCAAUGGCAUUGACAAAUGUUUGCACCAAAAACCAUGUUGAAGUUCAUUAAGGAAACUGUGAUCCAAGAUCCAAGGUCAAAAAAACAAAUUCAUCAAUUCAGCACACCACCAACUCACAGGCUAAGCAUCUUACUGCUAAUUCAUUGAUGCUGCCAUUUGUCAAGUGCCAAAUUGAAUUA
rnacentral:lncRNA from 1 species